GACGAACGCUGGCGGCGUGCUUAACACAUGCAAGUCGAACGAUGAAGCCGGAGCUUGCUCUGGUGAAUUAGUGGCGAACGGGUGAGUAACACGUGAGUAACCUGCCCUUGACUCUGGGAUAACUGCUAGAAAUGGUAGCUAAUACCGGAUACGACCCUCGGAGGCAUCUCCAGGGGGUGGAAAGAAUUUCGGUCAAGGAUGGACUCGCGGCCGAUCAGCUAGUUGGUGAGGUAAUGGCUCACCAAGGCGACGGCGGGUAGCCGGCCUGAGAGGGUGACCGGCCACACUGGGACUGAGACACGGCCCAGACUCCUACGGGAGGCAGCAGUGGGGAAUAGUGCACAAUGGGCGCAAGCCUGAUGCAGCAACGCCGCGUGAGGGAUGACGGACUUCGGGUUGUAAACCUCUUUUAGUAGGGAAGAGGCGAAAGUGACGGUACCUGCAGAAAAAGCACCGGCUAACUACGUGCCAGCCGCCGCAGUAA
rnacentral:rRNA from 1 species